rnacentral:rRNA from 1 species
GGAGGUCACCGCUAUUGGAAUACGAUUAAGGCAUGCGAGUCGAGAGUCUUAGGGACUCGGCAGACGGCUCAGUAACACGUAGAUAAUCUGCCCUUAGGUGGGGGAUAACCUCGAGAAAUUGAGAAUAAUACCCCAUAGAUCUAAGAUGCUGGAAUGCUUUUAGAUUGAAAGCCCCGGCGCCUAAGGAUGAGUCUGCGGCCUAUCAGGUUGUAGUGAGUGUAACGGACUCACUAGCCGACGACGGGUACGGGUCCUGAGAGGGAGAGCCCGGAGAUGGACUCUGAGACACGAGUCCAGGCCCCAAGGGGCGCAGCAGCUACGAAAACUUCACAAUGCGGGAAACCGCGAUGAGGGAAUUCCAAGUGCUGCAGUAUAACUGUAGCUGUUUAGUUGCCUAAAAAGCAAGUAGAGUAAGGGCUGGGUAAGACUGGUGCCAGCCGCCGCGGUAAUACCAGCAGCCCGAGUGGUGACCACUUUUAUUGGGCCU